rnacentral:rRNA from 1 species
CCUACGGGUGGCAGCAGUGGGGAAUAUUGGGCAAUGGGCGCAAGCCUGACCCAGCAACGCCGCGUGAAGGAAGAAGGCUCUCGGGUUGUAAACUUCUUUUCUGGGGGACGAACAAAUGACGGUACCCCAGGAAUAAGCCACGGCUAACUACGUGCCAGCAGCCGCGGUAAUACGUAGGUGGCAAGCGUUAUCCGGAUUUAUUGGGUGUAAAGGGCGUGUAGGCGGGAAUGCAAGUCAGAUGGGAAAACUCAGGGCUCAACCCUGAGCCUGCAGUUGAAACUGUGUUUCUUGAGUGCUGGGGAGGCAAGCGGAAUUCGGGGUGUAGCGGUGAAAUGCGUAGAUAUACGGAGGAACACCAGUGGCGAAGGCGGAGUGCUGGACAGUAACUGACGCUGAGGCGCGAAAGCGUGGGGAGCGAACAGGAUUAGAUACCCUAGUAGUC